rnacentral:rRNA from 1 species
CUACGGGUCGCAGCAAUGGGGAAUUUUGCGCAAUGGGGGAAACCCUGACGCAGCAAUACCGCGUGAGUGAAGAAGGCCUUUGGGUCGUAAAGCUCUUUUCUUGGGGAAGAUAGUGACGGUACCCAAGGAAUAAGCACCGGCUAACUCCGUGCCAGCAGCCGCGGUAAUACGGAGGGUGCAAGCGUUGUUCGGAUUUACUGGGCGUAAAGGGCACGUAGGCGGCACAGCAAGUUAAGGGUGAAAUCCCGGGGCUCAACUCCGGAACUGCUCUUAAAACUGCUGAGCUAGAGAUAGUCAGAGGCGGGUGGAAUUCCAGGUGUAGAGGUGAAAUUCGUAGAUAUCUGGAGGAACACCGGUGGCGAAGGCGGCCCGCUGGGGCUAUUCUGACGCUAAGGUGCGAAAGCGUGGGGAGCAAACGGGAUUAGAUACCCGCGUAGUC